GCUCUCUGCCCGCCUCUGUGCUGCUGAGCCCCGGAGCGCCGCCGCCCCUCAUACCGACUCUCCUUAGACAUGGGGCCGUUAUUUCACUAGUGGCGGAUGAGCAGCGUGAUGGUGCAUUACCGCCACCGACUGGACUGGAAUUAUACUAUAUGGCUAAACGUAUUUGGACACAUGACCACGAGCUUGUUGGACACCCCAUUAAAAAAAACUAAAGCUGCAUGUUCGACACCUUCAUUGGCUAAGGAGAGCAAAAGGACAAAGGACAGCAUACAUU